rnacentral:rRNA from 1 species
UACGUAGGGGGCUAGCGUUGUCCGGAAUCAUUGGGCGUAAAGCGCGUUUAGGCGGUCCGGUAAGUCCGCUGUGAAAGUCGAGGGCUCAACCCUCGAAUGCCGGUGGAUACUGUCGGGCUAGAGUACGGAAGAGGCGAGUGGAAUUCCUGGUGUAGCGGUGAAAUGCGCAGAUAUCAGGAGGAACACCAAUUGCGAAGGCAGCUCGCUGGGACGUUACUGACGCUGAGACGCGAAAGCGUGGGGAGCAAACAGG